GAUGAACGCUAGCUACAGGCUUAACACAUGCAAGUCGAGGGGCAGCAUGGUCUUAGCUUGCUAAGGCCGAUGGCGACCGGCGCACGGGUGAGUAACACGUAUCCAACCUGCCGUCUACUCUUGGACAGCCUUCUGAAAGGAAGAUUAAUACAAGAUGGCAUCAUGAGUCCGCAUGUUCACAUGAUUAAAGGUAUUCCGGUAGACGAUGGGGAUGCGUUCCAUUAGAUAGUAGGCGGGGUAACGGCCCACCUAGUCUUCGAUGGAUAGGGGUUCUGAGAGGAAGGUCCCCCACAUUGGAACUGAGACACGGUCCAAACUCCUACGGGAGGCAGCAGUGAGGAAUAUUGGUCAAUGGGCGAGAGCCUGAACCAGCCAAGUAGCGUGAAGGAUGACUGCCCUAUGGGUUGUAAACUUCUUUUAUAAAGGAAUAAAGUCGGGUAUGGAUACCCGUUUGCAUGUACUUUAUGAAUAAGGAUCGGCUAACUCCGUGCCAGCAGCCGCGGUAAUACGGAGGGUCCGAGCGUUAUCCGGAUUUAUUGGGUUUAAAGGGAGCGUAGAUGGAUGUUUAAGUCAGUUGUGAAAGUUUGCGGCUCAACCGUAAAAUUGCAGUUGAUACUGGAUAUCUUGAGUGCAGUUGAGGCAGGCGGAAUUCGUGGUGUAGCGGUGAAAUGCUUAGAUAUCACGAAGAACUCCGAUUGCGAAGGCAGCCUGCUAAGCUGCAACUGACAUUGAGGCUCGAAAGUGUGGGUAUCAAACAGGAUUAGAUACCCUGGUAGUCCACACGGUAAACGAUGAAUACUCGCUGUUUGCGAUAUACGGCAAGCGGCCAAGCGAAAGCGUUAAGUAUUCCACCUGGGGAGUACGCCGGCAACGGUGAAACUCAAAGGAAUUGACGGGGGCCCGCACAAGCGGAGGAACAUGUGGUUUAAUUCGAUGAUACGCGAGGAACCUUACCCGGGCUUAAAUUGCAGAUGAAUUACGGUGAAAGCCGUAAGCCGCAAGGCAUCUGUGAAGGUGCUGCAUGGUUGUCGUCAGCUCGUGCCGUGAGGUGUCGGCUUAAGUGCCAUAACGAGCGCAACCCUUGUUGUCAGUUACUAACAGGUCAUGCUGAGGACUCUGACAAGACUGCCAUCGUAAGAUGUGAGGAAGGUGGGGAUGACGUCAAAUCAGCACGGCCCUUACGUCCGGGGCUACACACGUGUUACAAUGGGGGGUACAGAGGGCCGCUACCACGCGAGUGGAUGCCAAUCCCCAAAACCUCUCUCAGUUCGGACUGGAGUCUGCAACCCGACUCCACGAAGCUGGAUUCGCUAGUAAUCGCGCAUCAGCCACGGCGCGGUGAAUACGUUCCCGGGCCU
rnacentral:rRNA from 1 species